UAGGGAAUCUUCCACAAUGGGCGGAAGCCUGAUGGAGCAACGCCGCGUGUGUGAUGAAGGCUUUCGGGUCGUAAAGCACUGUUGUAUGGGAAGAACAGCUAGAAUAGGAAAUGAUUUUAGUUUGACGGUACCAUACCGGAAAGGGACGGCUAAAUACGUGCCAA
rnacentral:rRNA from 1 species